rnacentral:pre_miRNA from 1 species
UGGUAAUGAUGAUGAUGAUGAUGAUGAUGAUGAUGAUGACGAGGAAUUAUCAUGAUAAUUUGCCAUCAUCAUCAUCGUCGUCAUCAUCAUCAUCAUCA